rnacentral:rRNA from 1 species
UCGAGAGUUUGAUCCUGGCUCAGGAUGAACGCUAGCGGCAGGCUUAACACAUGCAAGUCGAGGGGUAUAGUUCUUCGGAGCUAGAGACCGGCGCACGGGUGCGUAACGCGUAUGCAAUCUACCUUUUACAGAGGGAUAGCCCAGAGAAAUUUGGAUUAAUACCUCAUAGUAUGUGAGAAUCGCAUGGUUUUCACAUUAAAGUUCCAACGGUAAAAGAUGAGCAUGCGUCCCAUUAGCUAUAUGGUAAGGUAACGGCUUACCAUGGCGACGAUGGGUAGGGGUCCUGAGAGGGAGAUCCCCCACACUGGUACUGAGACACGGACCAGACUCCGUACGGGGAGGCAGCAGUGGGGAAUUUUGGACAAUGGACGCAAGUCUGAUCCCAGCCCAUUCCGCGUGAC